rnacentral:lncRNA from 1 species
GAGUAGCUGGGACUACAGGCGCCCGCCAUUACGCCCGGCUAAUUUUAUUUUAUUUUAUUUUUAGUAGAGACAGGGUUUCACUGUGUUAGCCAGGAUGGUCUGUGUCUCCUGACCUCGUGAUCCACCCGCCUCGGCCUCCCAAAGUGCUGGGAUUACAAAAUGCGUGAGCCACCACGCCCGGCUGAUGGUUUUAUUAAUAUAAGGGACUUUAACCCUUUGCUCAGGACUUCUACUUGCUGCUGCCAUGUGAAGAAGGACAUAUUUGCUUCCCCUUUCACCAUGAUUGUAAGUUUCCUGAGGCCUCCCCAGCCCUGCAGAACUAAAAGCAAUUUUGUUAAUCACUUUAGCACCAAUUCUUGCAUCCCUGGCAAUACUCAGAACUGCUUCCAUCCAAGUCUUUGAUGUGGGAAAGAAACACACACACACUCUUUCGCAUGUAAUCUGAAAACAAUUCACCUCUUGCCAAUGAAUGCACAGCACUCCACUUUAAUAGAGAGCAAGUUCUGUGGAGGUUUCUAAUCCUUUCUGCCAAAGAAGAGAAGAGAGAGAAUCACUCAGGAUCCCAUCCAGAAUACAUUACCUUUAGUCAUCAUGUCUCCUGUGGCUCUUCUUGGCUGUGACAGUUUCUCAGCUUUCCCAGUUUUAAUGAACUUGCCAUUUUCAUCAGAUUGUACCAAGACCUACUAUCAAUAUGACUUAUGACUAGUGGUGCUGACCUUGAUCACCUGGCUGAGGUAGUUCUUGUCAGGCUUCUCCACUGUCGAGUUGCUCUCCCCAUCCCCCUUUUCCAUAUUGUACUCUUUGAAAGAAAGUCACUAUAUGCAGCCCUUCCUUAAAAAUAUUAAAAUGAACUAGC